UGCCCCAUGGCUGAGUUGGUUACAGCGUCCGACUGUUAGAACUGUUUCACAAGUGAACAUCGGAAGGUCGAGAGUUCGAGCCUCUCUGGGGCAG
rnacentral:tRNA from 1 species